rnacentral:rRNA from 1 species
GAUGAACGCUGGCGGCGUGCCUAAUACAUGCAAGUCGAGCGAACAGACGAGGAGCUUGCUCCUCUGACGUUAGCGGCGGACGGGUGAGUAACACGUGGAUAACUUACCUAUAAGACUGGGAUAACUUCGGGAAACCGGAGCUAAUACCGGAUAAUAUAUUGAACCGCAUGGUUCAAUAGUGAAAGACGGUUUUGCUGUCGCUUAUAGAUGGAUCCGCGCCGCAUUAGCUAGUUGGUAAGGUAACGGCUUACCAAGGCAACGAUGCGUAGCCGACCUGAGAGGGUGAUCGGCCACACUGGAACUGAGACACGGUCCAGACUCCUACGGGAGGCAGCAGUAGGGAAUCUUCCGCAAUGGGCGAAAGCCUGACGGAGCAACGCCGCGUGAGUGAUGAAGGUCUUCGGAUCGUAAAACUCUGUUAUUAGGGAAGAACAAAUGUGUAAGUAACUAUGCACGUCUUGACGGUACCUAAUCAGAAAGCCACGGCUAACUACGCA